GAAAAGAGGGUCAAUGUCAGAGCAGUAAGGACUGGUGGAGAAAUGCUCAAGACUACAGCAAGCAGGUCCAGGGUGAAGAUGUGGGGGAGGAACAGUCUCAGGAAAGCAGAGACCAGCAGAACCUUCAGGACCUCUGAGCUUUCCCCAAAGUUCAGACAUCACAGAUGACCUGACCACACCACACAAGGUGGGUGGCCUAGAUCCCAGACUAUUAUAAACCACCUGAUCACAGGGAGAAAGGUGGCAAUCAGGCUGCAGAGAUGACAUCCUAGGGCAGGAAGGGAGCCUCAAAUUAGAUGACCUUUUUCUAUCACACCAAGUUUUACAGAUAGGGAAACAGAGCCAUCCAAUGAAGGUGUUUGCUGCUAAACCUGACAAUCUGAGUUCAGGGGUGGGAAGAACCAACUCUCAUAAGUUGUUUGGGUUUUUUUGUUUGUUUUUGUUUUACCUCAUGAGCACACACAAGAAUGAAUGUAUAGUUAAUUAAAUGUAAAAUUAAAAAAAAAAGAGAGAGACC
rnacentral:lncRNA from 1 species